GGUUCAGCGCGAUCCAGGGUACGAAGCGGUACUUGUAACGACGCCAUCGCUGCCAGAGGCCGCGCAGCAGGCGGCCCGGCAUGGCUGUUCUGUGGUGCCGUGAAGAGGACGGCACUGGGGAGGCGGGUUUUCUCGGGCCCGCCCCGACCCGAGGAGGAGCAGAGGCCGCGCCGUCCCUCCCCUUCGCGGUCUCAGCACUCAGUGCCGCGCUCGGCGGCCCCGGUAUCUCCUGGCCUCCUGUCGCCGUGUCUCCGUGCCUCUGCUUUAUUGACCCCAGCUCGCUGAAACAGAGAGUGAAUUAUAAUGACACACUAUCAAAUGUUGCACCAUCCUUGGAUUCCUGAGAUAACCCUACUCAAUUGUGACUGAGGAAGUUAUAUAAGCAUGGGGAGACCUGGAGGAGAUUACGGCAGGGGAGAGGCGCUGGGGAUCAGCUCGGAGGACUAAUACUACCCACUCUGCACAGACUGUG